rnacentral:rRNA from 1 species
CACACGUCAUACAAUGGUCGGUACAGAGGGUUGCCAAGCCGCGAGGCGGAGCCAAUACCCACCAAAGCCGAUCGUAGUCCGGAUUGUUCUCUGCAACUCGAGAGCAUGAAGUCGGAAUCGCUAGUAAUCGCAGGUCAGCAUACUGCGGUGAAUACGUUCCCGGGUCUU